rnacentral:rRNA from 1 species
AUGUCAGUUUCAGAUACAAACCUUAAUAAUGGAGAAAAGCCCAUCUCCGAAACUACCGAUGCGGAACUCGCCGAAAAGCAUGGUCAUAUGAAGUUAGUAUGCUCACAGACAAGGUUCGGAAAAACCAUGAAACUGUUGUCAGAAGACCACAAAAAGUACAUCAUAUCAGAAACCAGUCUUGGCGGACUAACCCAGAUGCAUGAAGUGACUCUACGUCGCAUAAUGUUGGUUAGACUAGCCAAGAGCAUAGAUAUGGAUACAAAAUCUAUUACCAUCGGUAAAACGCCAAUUCCUAUAACAAAAGAGGACGUGCAAGGUAUAUUUGGCAUUCCGGUAGAAGGGGAGGAUAUAGAGCCACAUCUGGAAAAUCAAACCGACACAGAAUUGUUUACCGCCUAUGCAAACAAUGGGCAAAUUUUGAUUUCUGACCUUGACACGGUGAUCCGAGCUUCCAAAGCCCCAGACGGUGAUUUCCUGAGACGGUUCAUUCUGUACGCAAUUGGUACUAUUCUAGCACCAACAGCACAACAUUAUGUGGAGUCGAAAUAUCUCAACCUUGUUACAGAUCUUGAAAACCUUCAAAAAUUUAACUGGGGAUGUUUCACACUUAAUCACUUCUUCAUGUCCGUUCACAAGUUUAGAAAUCGAGAUCACGUAAAUCUACAAGGAAAUCUAAUUCUGCUCCAGUAUUGGUACUGGGAGCACGUGCGUAGUGGCCGAUUAAUGUAUGCUUCUAGACCCCCUCCAUUGAUCGCACGAUGGGACAAAAUGAUGGCUACUAUAAGAAGCGAUGCUUACUAG